UCUGGGCAGAACUCAGCAUCCUCCUCUGGGCUCCCAGAAAGCUGUGUCCUUGUCUCAACACUGAGCUCCUCACAGCAGAAGAUGAUGAAACUGAGGGCCAGAGAGGUGAAGACACUCGCCUGAGAUCUUAUGUCCAGGUGGUGUUUGAUCAGGUGCCGUGGACAUCUUGGUCUGGGCCUGGCUAGCUCUGGGACCAAAGAUCAGCCACAUUUGGCCACGGAAGGCAGUGCAGGAAGGUUGCAGUGAAAGAGGAGGAAAACACCGCUGGCUGGGUCCCAUCACCCAGCACGCGCAUGCGCACGCACACCCCCUCCUCCCUCCUGGCCAGAUGGAUGCUGGCUGUACCAGUUGGCAGAGGAUAGGUCCCCGGGGAGGAGGAUGCCACUAAGAAGCCUGGGUGAAGAAGCUGAAGAAGCCGGGAGACACAGCGUAGUGAAUUCUCUGUUUUCAAGGACAAGAACGAUGCCUCCAAACCAGCAGUUCCAGAUGCCCAGGAAACUCUAGGAUGGAGAAAAAGGACACAGGUGAAGUGUCUGCUCUUUAUCCCACUAAUGCCUCUUGAGAAGUGACAUCUUUCUAAAGGCAAAGUUCCUGUGAUGAAGCUUAACAUGGCCACUUUGGGGAAAAAAAUAAAAACCAUCUGCUCCAGGAAUGUAACAACAGAAAAUAAUUAAGGUCUAAUAAGGUCAGUGUUCCACCUUAACACCUUUUCAGUUCCAGUUAAAACCUCUACUAAUUUGCCAAGAAAAACCAGCCUCA